AAAUUGAAGAGUUUGAUCAUGGCUCAGAUUGAACGCUGGCGGCAGGCCUAACACAUGCAAGUCGAGCGGUAGCACAGAGAGCUUGCUCUCGGGUGACGAGCGGCGGACGGGUGAGUAAUGUCUGGGAAACUGCCUGAUGGAGGGGAUAACUACUGGAAACGGUAGCUAAUACCGCAUAACGUCGCAAGACCAAAGUGGGGACCUUCGGGCCUCAUGCCAUCAGAUGUGCCCAGAUGGGAUUAGCUAGUAGGUGGGGUAACGGCUCACCUAGGCGACGAUCCUAGCUGGUCUGAGAGGAUGACCAGCCACACUGGAACUGAGACACGGUCCAGACUCCUACGGGAGGCAGCAGUGGGAAUAUUGCACAAUGGGCGCAAGCCUGAUGCAGCCAUGCCGCGUGUGUGAAGAAGGCCUUCGGGUUGUAAAGCACUUUCAGCGGGGAGGAAGGCGUUAAGGUUAAUAACCUUGGCGAUUGACGUUACCCGCAGAAGAAGCACCGGCUAACUCCGUGCCAGCAGCCGCGGUAAUACGGAGGGUGCAAGCGUUAAUCGGAAUUACUGGGCGUAAAGCGCACGCAGGCGGUCUGUCAAGUCGGAUGUGAAAUCCCCGGGCUCAACCUGGGAACUGCAUUCGAAACUGGCAGGCUAGAGUCUUGUAGAGGGGGUAGAAUUCCGGUGUAGCGGUGAAAUGCGUAGAGAUCUGGAGGAAUACCGGUGGCGAAGGCGGCCCCUGGACAAAGACUGACGCUCAGGUGCGAAAGCGUGGGGAGCAAACAGGAUUAGAUACCCUGGUAGUCCACGCCGUAAACGAUGUCGAUUUGGAGGUUGUGCCCUUGAGGCGUGGCUUCCGGAGCUAACGCGUUAAAUCGACCGCCUGGGGAGUACGGCCGCAAGGUUAAAACUCAAAUGAAUUGACGGGGCCCGCACAAGCGGUGGAGCAUGUGGUUUAAUUCGAUGCAACGCGAAGAACCUUACCUGGUCUUGACAUCCACAGAACUUUCCAGAGAUGGAUUGGUGCCUUCGGGAACUGUGAGACAGGUGCUGCAUGGCUGUCGUCAGCUCGUGUUGUGAAAUGUUGGGUUAAGUCCCGCAACGAGCGCAACCCUUAUCCUUUGUUGCCAGCGGUUAGGCCGGGAACUCAAAGGAGACUGCCAGUGAUAAACUGGAGGAAGGUGGGGAUGACGUCAAGUCAUCAUGGCCCUUACGACCAGGGCUACACACGUGCUACAAUGGCAUAUACAAAGAGAAGCGACCUCGCGAGAGCAAGCGGACCUCAUAAAGUAUGUCGUAGUCCGGAUUGAGUCUGCAACUCGACUCCAUGAAGUCGGAAUCGCUAGUAAUCGUAGAUCAGAAUGCUACGGUGAAUACGUUCCCGGGCCUUGUACACACCGCCCGUCACACCAUGGGAGUGGGUUGCAAAAGAAGUAGGUAGCUUAACCUUCGGGAGGGCGCUUACCACUUUGUGAUUCAUGACUGGGGUGAAGUCGUAACAAGGUAACCGUAGGGAACCUGCGGUUGGAUCACCUCCUUA
rnacentral:rRNA from 1 species